rnacentral:rRNA from 1 species
GAUCCAGAGUACCACGGGACACGUGAAACCCUGUGGGAAGCAGGAGGGACCACCCUCCAAGGCUAAAUACUACCUAGUGACCGAUAGCGUAUAGUACCGUGAGGGAAAGGUGAAAAGAACCCCGGGAGGGGAGUGAAAUAGAACCUGAAACCCUGCACUUACAAGCUGUGGAAGCACAUUUCUUGUGUGACCGCGUACUUUUUGUAGAACGGGCCAACGAGUUACGUUAAGUAGCAAGGUUAAGCACUUAAGGUGCGGAGCCGUAGCGAAAGCGAGUUUUAACUGAGCGUUCAGUUACUUGACGUAGACCCGAAACCGGGCGACCUACCCAUGAGCAGGAUGAAGCGAAAGUAAAAUUUCGUGGAGGUCCGAACCCACGAGCGUUGAAAAGCUCGGGGAUGACUUGUGGGUAGCGGUGAAAUUCCAAUCGAGCCCGGAGAUAGCUGGUUCUCCCCGAAAUAGCUUUAGGGCUAGCCUCAAGGUGAGAGAUACGGAGGUAGAGCACUGAAUGUCCUAGGGGGUAUUGCACCUACCGAAGACUAUCAAACUCCGAAUGCCGUCAUCUUAUACUUGGGAGUCAGACUGUGGGUGAUAAGAUUCAUAGUCGAAAGGGCAACAGCCCAGAUCGUCAGCUAAGGUCCCUAAAUGUAAGUUAAGUGGUAAAGGAUGUGGGAUUGCACAGACAACCAGGAUGUUGGCUUAGAAGCAGCCACUCAUUCAAAGAGUGCGUAAUAGCUCACUGGUCGAGUGAUCCUGCGCCGAAGAUUUCCGGGGCUAAAACUUACUACCGAAGCUACGGCAUCAGUAAUGAUGGGUAGGGGAGCUUCCCAUACGGGUUGAAGCAUGACCGUAAGGACAUGUGGACAGUAUGGGAGUGAGAAUGUUGGCAUGAGUAGCGAGAUGUGGGUGAGAAUCCCACAGGCCGUAAACCCAAGGUUUCCAGGGGAAGGUUCGUCCGCCCUGGGUUAGUCGGGACCUAAGCUGAGGCCGAAAGGCGUAGGUGAUGGACAACAGGUUGAUAUUCCUGUACUACCGAUAACCGUUUGAGAGAAGGGAUGACACAGUAGGAUAAGCUAAGCACACUGUUGGUUAUGUGUGCCCAAGCAUUGAGGCAGUCAAAGUAGGCAAAUCCGCUUUGAUAAUGCUGGGAUGUGAUGGGGAGCGAAAUUUAGUAGCGAAGUAGCUGAUUUCACACUGUCAAGAAAAGUCUCUAUCGAGGUUAAAGGUACCCGUACCGCAAACCGACACAGGUGGGUGAGGAGAGUAUCCUAAGGCCAGCGAGAGAACUGUUGUUAAGGAACUCGGCAAAAUGACCCCGUAACUUAGGGAUAAGGGGUGCCACCAUCAGGUGGCCGCAGAGAAUAGGCCCAAGCGACUGUUUACCAAAAACAUAGGUUUCUGCUAAGUCGCAAGACGAUGUAUAGGAGCUGACGCCUGCCCGGUGCUGGAAGGUUAAGGGGAUCUGUUAGAGCAAUCGAAGCAGUGAACUUAAGCCCCAGUAAACGGCGGCCGUAACUAUAACGGUCCUAAGGUAGCGAAAUUCCUUGUCGGGUAAGUUCCGACCCGCACGAAAGGCGUAACGAUUUGGGCACUGUCUCAACAACAGACUCGGUGAAAUUGUAAUUCCGGUGAAGAUGCCGGAUACCUGCGACAGGACGGAAAGACCCCAUGGAGCUU